AUAGCAUGCUUUCUGCAACAACAGUUGGAAAGGAAAACAAACACAACCGUCUCUGCUUUGCCGGAUGGAGUCACUAGGGAUAUUCACAUGAGCAUCAGCCAUAUUGGAAGACAGCGGUUACGUGCAUUUCUGUUCUUUGCAAACCCACUGGUGGCUGGCACAGUCUAAGAGAGAGCACAAUACCGUCUUCAGUGCCCAAGCUUCCAGUUAAGAAAAUAAAUGAGUGUGUAGGGACAGAAGGAUCAGAGGCAGUGGCCAAAGGGAGAGGUAAUGAUGGGAGGCUCCUUUUGGUGGAGAAGACUGAG